UGGGGGAUUUUGGACAAUGGGCGAAAGCCUGAUCCAGCAAUGCCGCGUGUGUGAAGAAGGCCUUCGGGUUGUAAAGCACUUUUGUCCGGAAAGAAAUCCUUGGCUCUAAUACAGUCGGGGGAUGACGGUACCGGAAGAAUAAGCACCGGCUAACUACGUGCCAGCAGCCGCGGUAAUACGUAGGGUGCAAGCGUUAAUCGGAAUUACUGGGCGUAAAGCGUGCGCAGGCGGUUUGCUAAGACCGAUGUGAAAUCCCCGGGCUCAACCUGGGAACUGCAUUGGUGACUGGCAGGCUAGAGUAUGGCAGAGGGGGGUAGAAUUCCACGUGUAGCAGUGAAAUGCGUAGAGAUGUGGAGGAAUACCGAUGGCGAAGGCAGCCCCCUGGGCCAAUACUGACGCUCAUGCACGAAAGCGUGGGGAGCAAACAGGAUUAGAUACCCUGGUAGUCCACGCCCUAAACGAUGUCAACUAGUUGUUGGGGAUUCAUUUCCUUAGUAACGUAGCUAACGCGUGAAGUUGACCGCCUGGGGAGUACGGUCGCAAGAUUAAAA
rnacentral:rRNA from 1 species